UGGAAUCGAAAAUCAACCUACCUAUCGAAGUGUUUUCAUUGUUCUUUGAAGAAAAUCUAUGAGCCCGAUAUGGUCCUUCCGUUGCGCUGUAAAAAUGCCGAAUUCGAUAAAUUUACCAGAAAGUAAAACACUGCAGGGUAAAAAUAUCAGGCUCGGAUUUCCACUCAUUUUCAUGAUGCUGUAAAUAUAUUAGAUUUUCGCUUUACCUUUUCUUCCCAAUUUUCUACUGGAAAAAAAAAACCCAAUCUCAAUCAAAAUUCCAAACCCUCUUUCUUCUUCGUUUUCAAAUCUGUUAUAAUUUAGAUGGAAGGGCGGUCAUCAAAUCAAAAUGUUGAUGUAAUUUCAAAAUCUAGGGUUACUUCAAUCCUUCUCUACUAGUAUUUCUUAUGAUUCAUGUAUUCACAUCAAUGAGUUUGGAGGAAGAAAAUGGAUGUUUACAAGAGAUUUAAUCAGCAUUUACGAAAAUUCCUUAUUGUAUGGGGGCCUCUGAGAAGAAGAUAAUGUCAACUAUGAAUUUCCUUGUGAAUGAAGUGGGUUAUGAGUCCUUGAGUAUUGAUUGAAUAAGAGGAUUAUCCCAAGGUGUUAUAUUAUCAGGAUUUUAGUCUCUAAGGGUCUCAUUAAGGAGAGGAUUUCCAAGUCUUUCUUGGAGAAAUUUGUAACAAGGUAUGAGCAAGAAGUUCCUGAACUAAUGAAGAUAUUCCAAGGUCCAACAGUUACUUCAAAAAUGAAGUAUUUUGUGAGAUGAAUGCGCAGUACUGGGUAUGCCUUGAUAGAGAGAAAGGAAUCAUAUAUAUUGGUUCUGUGUAUUUUCUGGCAACAUGGUGAAUAGAAAAUGGGAUAAAUAGAAGCUUCACAAAGAUUUGUUUUAUGCGCCGUUCUGAUAUUUAUUUCAUUAACAGUCAACCGUCCGCGACCACUGAAUGGCCUUUGCUCAGUAAUCUUUCGAACCAUGACUAGCUAUUGGCAACCAGUCAGAGUUCCACCUCCUGCAGCAUCAACAUAAUCGUCGUUGCUGCUAAGAUAACUGGGUGUCUUCAAAGACCUGCUGAGGCAGACAAAAUACUAAUCUGAUGAUCAUACUGUCUGUUUUACUGUUUUUAGUUUGUUUUACUGUCAGAAGGAUUCCUUGAAGUUCUAUUUAGAUACUAAUCGACCAAUGUAGUUUGUUUGUGAGAUAGUAGUUUGCACCAAGAGAGUUUUAUUUUAUUGCAUUUUGAGAGUGUUGGUUUUUCGUCACUUAGGAAAACCUUGGCCGCCACUAAAGAAAUGCAUGUCUCAGAAAUGAAGCAACUUGCCGAGCAAA